GGGGACGUAACAAAGCGACCCAGGAAUGCUUGGGCGUGCCUCCACCCACGCCGGCGUCGGCGGGCGUAUUUCGCCUCACAGUAGGUCGCCGCGACCCGUUGCUUUUGGGGACGUCGAAGGCCCGGACGGAUUGGUACCCUACCGGCUGGGGAUGCGGCUUCGGCUUCUCCUCUUGUCCGGUGGGCGAAACCGCCGGUGUCCUGGCUGCCCUGCGACGGUCGUAGAGACGAGCCCUCCCCUUCGGGGGGGCGGCUCUCGCGGCGUGCAAAAGGUCGGUGAUCCACCCGACCCGUCUUGAAACACGGACCAAGGAGUCUAACAUGUGUGCGAGUCAGUGGGCGCACUAAACCCAGAGGCGUAAUGAAAGUGACACGGGUUCGGCUGUCGCCUCGUGUGGCAGCCGGACUCAGGGCCGAUCCCUCACCGGUUGCCCUCGCCUCUCUCCCGCGUCUCGGUAAGCCGGGUGAGCUAUUUUCCCCGGCCGCUGCUGCGGGGCUCGGGGGGAGGCGGGGUGCGAUGGUGUCUGUAAAAAAGAGCCUGCUGUUGCAGGGGGGCGCAGGCCCGGGACUUGCCAGGACGCCGCGAGACUGUCACUUUGCUGUGAGGCUCUCGGGCCGAUCAGCGGGUCAUGCGUGCAGUCGGCAAGUACCAUGAGCAGACAUGUUGGGACCCGAAAGAUGGUGAACUAUGCCUGGCCAGGAUGAAGCCAGAGGAAACUCUGGUGGAGGUCCGUAGCGAUUCUGACGUGCAAAUCGAUCGUCGGAGCUGGGUAUAGGG
rnacentral:rRNA from 1 species